rnacentral:rRNA from 1 species
UACACUCCUGCGGGAGGCAGCAGUGGGGAAUAUUGCACAAUGGGCGCAAGCCUGAUGCAGCCAUGCCGCGUGUAUGAAGAAGGCCUUCGGGUUGUAAAGUACUUUCAGCGGGGAGGAAGGCGAUAAGGUUAAUAACCUUGUCGAUUGACGUUACCCGCAGAAGAAGCACCGGCUAACUCCGUGCCAGCAGCCGCGGUAAUACGGAGGGUGCAAGCGUUAAUCGGAAUUACUGGGCGUAAAGCGCACGCAGGCGGUCUGUCAAGUCGGAUGUGAAAUCCCCGGGCUCAACCUGGGAACUGCAUUCGAAACUGGCAGGCUAGAGUCUUGUAGAGGGGGGUAGAAUUCCAGGUGUAGCGGUGAAAUGCGUAGAGAUCUGGAGGAAUACCGGUGGCGAAGGCGGCCCCCUGGACAAAGACUGACGCUCAGGUGCGAAAGCGUGGGGAGCAAACAGGAUUAGAAACCCCUGUAGUCCC